AAUAAUUUGGCAGAUAAAUGCAAUUGACUUAGAAUCAACUAAUAACUUAUGUUAAUUAUUA
rnacentral:tRNA from 1 species